rnacentral:rRNA from 1 species
AGUGAACGCUGGCGGUAGGCCUAACACAUGCAAGUCGAACGGCAGCACAGUAAGCGCUUGCUCUUACGGGUGGCGAGUGGCGGACGGGUGAGGAAUACAUCGGAAUCUACUUUUUCGUGGGGGAUAAUGUAGGGAAACUUACGCUAAUACCGCAUACGACCUACGGGUGAAAGCAGGGGAUCUUCGGACCUUGCGCGAUUGAAUGAGCCGAUGUCGGAUUAGCUAGUUGGCGGGGUAAAGGCCCACCAAGGCGACGAUCCGUAGCUGGUCUGAGAGGAUGAUCGGCCACACUGGAACUGAGACACGGUCCAGACUCCUACGGGAGGCGGCAGUGGGGAAUAUUGGGCAAUGGGCGCAAGCCUGAUCCAGCCAUACCGCGUGGGUGAAGAAGGCCUUCGGGUUGUAAAGCCCUUUUGUUGGGAAAGAAAAGCAGCAGGUUAAUACCCCGCUGUUCUGACGGUACCCAAAGAAUAAGCACCGGCUAACUUCGUG